CUGGAAUUUGACGAGAAUGGUGCAUGUGUUGGUGCUAGUCUUGCUUUUGGGGCUCAAGCUGGUGGUGUCAUAAUUGUUGGCCAUGGUGAGACCUUUCUUCUUAGAGAUGCCCGUAGGAAAUGCAUGUGGUGCUUUGAGUUUGUUUUCAUGAGGCAGUCCGCUAUCAGUGUACAGACUCGUCGUAGGUACUUCCUAUUAUUUCCUGUCAUUUAAGACAUGCUAGCAUACUUUGCACAUCUGCAUGCUCUUACUCUAUGAAUAAAGGGUGGGAUCUUACAUUAGUGAGAUAAUUGAACAUCAAAUUGCUGGUGUAAUUAUUAGUGAUAUAUCCUCAUUCCUUGCAAGGCUUACAUUGAGUGUGGAUAUACUCUGAUUGCAAUGUAUCAGAGGACAGUUGUCUGAUUGUCACACGGUUUUGGAUAGAAUACCAAGGAAUGUGUUGUUUGUUGGAUUGGACGGAUAGAGGUUUAUGAACGAGCAUUCAACUGUGAGGGAGUAUGCAGUUUGUUCUUCUUAAUACAACAUGGAUACGUUAUACUCUUGAUAGUCAUUUGCAAUGCAAAUCCGUUCAUUCCAUUUGUGGGGGUUCUGCUAUGUUCAAUGCUUGUCAGUUUCUUCUGAUGGUUUCUCUCAAGAACAAGACUUCUUCCUCGACUUUCAUUCCUUGUGCUAUUGUAAUACUUAAGAAAUACAAUAUUGGUACAUGGAUAGCUACAAAAUGUGCAGCUUAUUCAAGCAUUAACUUACAACUGAGUGAAAUUGUCGAGAUAACUUACAGGGAGAAAGCUUAUUAGUACUGGUGUCGCAACAUAUGAACUCACCCGACCAGAUUUGUGGGUGGCGACAAUCAAUCUUGCUGGCCCUUUAGAUUUACUUUUACUGCUUACUCUUAUGUAGGGUGUUCCCCAGCUAUGCCUCUGCUUUUAACAGUAUUAUGGCAUUAUUCCUUGCUCAAGAUGUUGCCUUCACUCAACAUGUGCCAGUUGGCUCCUCCUAUAUCGUGUGAGAAAUUCACUUCUUCUAUGACACUUGGUUUGGGCUACUUGGCUUGCUUGCUGAAAGGAGGUACUUCAGGAAUUCUUCAAGUGCACACAACUGAUCUUGAAGGACGUUAGGAACAAACAAAGCAGUUGGUCAACACACAUUUUGAUCACUUUGUACCUUGUGAAACAAUGAUUUAUUGUAUACAAAGAGUUCAGCUUACUUUUCACUGUGCAUUUGAGUUGCUAUGCGCAAGUUUGGUGCAGAAAAUGUUUCCGAGGUUAUGAAUAUUACUUCACUUCCCUAGUACUACCCAUGAGUGCAUUCAUAACGGUGUAUAUGGCCUAAUAGUAAGGGAGCACAACAAAGUAGAAUCAAAUAUUUUGCCCCUUCUCAUAUGUUAAUACUACCAUGUGGCCAUUAGGAGAGUGACAGAAUAAUGCAAGCAUCUACAAAUCUCUGCGAGCCUACUGGAGCCAAUGUUGUAGCAGUAGCAGGCUACAAGACUCUUCCUAUGGAAUUGUUUUGUAGGGUAUUGCUAAGGAGAUUCUUUGGACACCAAAGUAGUGUCCCAAGGUCUAUCACGGAUUCAUAGAAUGUGAGGAAGUUCUUUACCUAUGUUCAGUUAUGGGCUUCUGACAAUGAUGUUGUUGAUUUAGGCUUUACUACUCGAACCUUGAGGACAAGGUUCUUAUUAGGGCCGGAGGUAUUGUCAUGAAUGAGUCUGUACCAGUAUUGACAAAGCAGCCCACCAAUACCAUAUUAAGUGGCUCUGUUUGGGAUCCGAGUUGAUAUAUAGCUACUUGUGGGAGCAAAAUAGGUUUAUGCGAAUAUUGUUGGAGUGUCAGUAUCUCCUCAUUCCCGUUCUAUCUGUUAUUCUCACCCUCCUUUUUGAGUCUACGCUUCUCAUUUCCCUUCUAUCCUUUGUUACAAUUCCUUGUUAUCCUUUCAAGUACCUUGUUGAUCUUAAGCUUUCCAUUGUAAUAGUUAGUUUGAGCAUUCAAUCAAAGGAAUUGAUUCCUUGUAGUUGAGCAUUUAAGUGUUCACUUCAGAAGAUCUCUCAAGAAUGGUUCAGUUUCGCUAAUUCAGAUGUAGAUGAAAGCCUCACUGGAGGAGAUGCCACCAAGUUAUUUGCCAUGUCCAAUUUGCCUCGCCAAGAGCUCAAGCAGGUUCUUUUCUUUUCUACUUCCUUUAUUUCCUUAAUAUCGUUCACUUGUACCCAAUAACCCCAUUAUUCGAGUGAGCCGUUAUUUUCUUAGAUAGUGUAUAUAUGGUCAAAAUUAUUUUAUUAUAUGGCAGAUCUUGAAUCCUCUUGA